ACGAAGGGGGCAAGCGUUGUUCGGAAUUACUGGGCGUAAAGGGCGCGUAGGCGGCUUGCCAAGUCAGGCGUGAAAUUCCCGGGCUCAACCUGGGGGCUGCGUUUGAUACUGUGGGGCUAGAGAGCGGGAGAGGAUGGUGGAAUUCCCAGUGUAGAGGUGAAAUUCGUAGAUAUUGGGAAGAACACCGGUGGCGAAGGCGGCCAUCUGGACCGUAUCUGACGCUGAGGCGCGAAAGCGUGGGGAGCAAACAGGA
rnacentral:rRNA from 1 species